rnacentral:rRNA from 1 species
UCUGGUUGAUCCCGCCGGAGGUUACUGCUAUCGAGGUUCGACUAAGCCAUGCGAGUCGAAUGUAGCAAUACAUGGCGUACUGCUCAGUAACACGUGGACAACCUACCCUUAGGUCGGGGAUAAACCCGGGAAACUGGGUAUAAUACCCGAUAGUCCUCGGAUGCUGGAAUGCACCGAGGUCUAAAGCUCCGGCGCCUAAGGAUGGGUCUGCGGCCUAUCAGGUAGUAGUGGGUGUAGCGUACCUACUAGCCUACGACGGGUACGGGUUGUGAGAACAAGAGCCCGGAGAUGGAUUCUGAGACACGAAUCCAGGCCCUACGGGGUGCAGCAGGCGCGAAAACUUUACAAUGCUGGCAACAGCGAUAAGGGGACCUCGAGUGCCAGGUUACAAAUCUGGCUGUCGUGAUGCCUAAAAAGCAUUGCAUAGCAAGGGCCGGGCAAGACCGGUGCCAGCCGCCGCGGUGACACCGGCGGCUCGAGUGGUAACCGUUAUUAUUGGGUCUAAAGGGUCUGUAGCCGGCCGGAUAAGUCUCUUGGGAAAUCCAGCAGCUUAACUGUUGGGCUUUCAGGAGAUACUGUCUGGCUCGAGGCCGGGAGAGGUGAGAGGUACUCAGGGGUAGGGGGAAAUCUUGUAUCUGAAGGACCACC